rnacentral:rRNA from 1 species
CACCGCGGUUAUACGAGAGGCCCAAGCUGACAGCCAUCGGCGUAAAGGGUGGUUAAAUCAACCUUUCCCACUAAAGCCAAACAUCUUCAAAGUUGUAUAACGCACUCGAAGACAUGAAGAACAACUACGAAAGUAGCUUUACACCCCUUUGAACCCACGAAAGCUAGGAAA